rnacentral:rRNA from 1 species
CAGCAGCCGCGGGAAUACGAAGGGGGCUAGCGUCGUUCGGAAUUACUGGGCGUAAAGCGCACGUAGGCGGCUUGGUAAGUUAGAGGUGAAAGCCUGGAGCUCAACUCCAGAAUUGCCUUUAAGACUGCCGAGCUAGCAGGUGAGAGAGGUAAGUGGAAUUCCGAGUGUAGAGGUGAAAUUCGUAGAUAUUCGGAAGAACACCAGUGGCGAAGGCGGCUUACUGGCUCAUACUGGACGCUGAGGUGCGAAAGCGUGGGGAGCAAACAGGAUUAGAUACCCGUGUAGUCCCUGUCUCUUAUAC